AGCGAACGCUGGCGGCAUGCCUAACACAUGCAAGUCGAACGAGACCUUCGGGUCUAGUGGCGCACGGGUGCGUAACGCGUGGGAAUCUGCCCUUGGGUUCGGAAUAACAGUUGGAAACGACUGCUAAUACCGGAUGAUGACGUAAGUCCAAAGAUUUAUCGCCCAAGGAUGAGCCCGCGUAGGAUUAGCUAGUUGGUGAGGUAAAGGCUCACCAAGGCGACGAUCCUUAGCUGGUCUGAGAGGAUGAUCAGCCACACUGGGACUGAGACACGGCCCAGACUCCUACGGGAGGCAGCAGUGGGGAAUAUUGGACAAUGGGCGAAAGCCUGAUCCAGCAAUGCCGCGUGAGUGAUGAAGGCCUUAGGGUUGUAAAGCUCUUUUACCCGGGAUGAUAAUGACAGUACCGGGAGAAUAAGCGCCGGCUAACUCCGUG
rnacentral:rRNA from 1 species